rnacentral:rRNA from 1 species
AUACGGAGGGUGCAAGCGUUGUUCGGAAUUACUGGGCGUAAAGAGUACGUAGGCGGUUUGUUAAGUUAGAUGUGAAAGUUUGCAGCUCAACUGUAAAAGUGCAUUUAAAACUGGCAGACUUGAGUCUCGGAGAGGUAAGCGGAAUUCCUAGUGUAGCGGUGAAAUGCGUAGAGAUUAGGAAGAACACCGGUGGCGAAGGCGGCUUACUGGACGAGUACUGACGCUCAGGUACGAAAGCGUGGGGAGC